rnacentral:rRNA from 1 species
UACUGGUUGAUCCUGCCAGUAGUCAUAUGCUUGUCUCAAAGAUUAAGCCAUGCAUGUCUGAGUACAAGCCGAACCAAGGCGAAACCGCGGAUGGCUCAUUAAAUCAGUCUUUAUUUACUGGAUGUUGUAAAACCCAUUACUUGGAUAACUGUGGUAAUUCUAGAGCUAAUACAUGCAACCGAGCUCCGACCCUGACCUUUCGAGGCGGGGGAAGGGCGCAUUUAUUAGAUCACAAAACUGACCAUCGGACUUCGGUCCGUAAACACGAAACAAUUUUUCGUGAUGACUCUGAAUAACCCAGCCGAGCGCUAAGGUCUUCGUACCGGCGCCGUAUCUAUCGAGUGUCUGCCUUAUCAGCUGUCGAUUGUACGUUAUUCGCCUACAAUGGCUGUAACGGGUAACGGGGAAUCAGGGUUCGAUUCCGGAGAGGGAGCCUGAGAAACGGCUACCACAUCUAAGGAAGGCAGCAGGCACGCAAAUUACCCACUCCCGGCCCGGGGAGGUAGUGACGAAAAAUAACGAUGCGGGACUCUUCCGAGGCCUCGCAAUCGGAAUGAGUUCACUUUAAAUCCUUGGACGAGGAUCCAUUGGAGGGCAAGUCUGGUGCCAGCAGCCGCGGUAAUUCCAGCUCCAAUAGCGUAUAUUAAAGUUGCUGCGGUUAAAAAGCUCGUAGUUGAGUUUUAAGUUCGGCCCGGAAGUCCAUCCUAGGCGGUGUUCGGACCCCGUCACGCGCGGGCGGUUCCUUCCCGCGUCCUUGCGGCUGCUUCCCGCUGGCGCUACUACCACUAAUACUACUACUACUGCUACCAAAAAAACUUAAGCUGCUGUAUAUGGUACUAUAACUCUCAGCCUAUAUAAGCACGCUCGGUCUAUGAACCAAAACUUAAAAAGAAGUGGCGCAUCUCGUUAAAACCUGGCGUGAGACGCGUUACCGGCCCAACAACAUCAUCUGCGUUCGUUUAGGCGAGCAGCGGCGUUGGGGGCAACGGUUCAUGAAAAUGAACCCCGGUAGCGCUCGUCGCUCGUCAAGGAGAGUUGCGUUACCGCAAAAAGUUUUUGAAGUUUACUAAGGCCGUUCCUCUACUUAAACAAAAAGUAGGAGAGAACGCGUAGUGCUAUUUUUUACGAAGGCGGCUCUCGUAAACGUAGUACCGUAUGUGGUGUAGUACGUGGUAAAAAAAGGCGUCCAGCGGCCGAGGUACGCACGCAAGGGCGGCUAACGGGAGGGAUUUAAAACCGUUCCCGGCGGGUGAAAGGGCACGCCCGGGGUGGUUCUCUUUCCGAAGCCGAAUUACCUAAAAGCCGUCGGCUUUCACGGGGUGCUCUUCACCGAGUGUCCCGCGGUGUCGACACCUUCACUUUGAAAAAAUUAGAGUGCUCAAAGCAGGCAAAAAUUCUAAACAACGCCUGAAUCGUAACGCAUGGAAUGAUGGAACAGGACCUCGGUUCUGCCAUUUUUUUAAUCGGUUUUUCUGAACCCGAGGUAAUGAUUAAAGGGAACUGACGGGGGCAUUAGUAUUGCGGCGCUAGAGGUGAAAUUCUUGGACCGUCGCAAGACUAACUACUGCGAAAGCAUUUGCCAAGAAUGUUUUCAUUAAUCAAGAACGAAAGUUAGAGGAUCGAAGGCGAUCAGAUACCGCCCUAGUUCUAACCCUAAACGAUGCUAACUGGCAAUCCGCUUGAGUCAUACCCACGACUGAGCGGGAAUCCCCCGGGAAACCAAAGUGUUUGAGUUCCGGGGGAAGUAUGGUUGCAAAAUCGAAACUUAAAGGAAUUGACGGAAGGGCACCACCAGGAGUGGAGCCUGCGGCUUAAUUUGACUCAACACGGGAACCUCACCAGGCCCGGACACCGGAAGGAUUGACAGAUUGAGAGCUCUUUCUCGAUUCGGUGGUUGGUGGUGCAUGGCCGUUCUUAGUUGGUGGAGCGAUCUGUCUGGUUGAUUCCGAUAACGAACGAGACUCUACCCUACUAACUAGUCGGCGGAUCGUCUCCCGAGACGGGUAAAUCUACCUAGUCCGGGGCAAUCCCUAGGGCGUUCAUACAUCUCCCUAGACCCAAGUUUAUCGACCCAAUUCCUUCUACCUGCUUCUGUGGUUGGUUUCGGCUUCCGAGUGGUACGAAGGAGAGUAGGGGUGAGGCCGUAGAAAGGUCGUAGUUGAAUGAUUCCUCGUUGGAGGAGCGGUAUGCGGAGUGACGGGCGUUUAUUUAUAAGCGUUUACGUGCUCCCUGCCCUCCUUUUUUUCGAUAUCCUCUUCUUCUCGAUCCUAUACGGUUUAUCUCCCUACCUCCAUCCUCCUCUCUUUAGACCGGAUCUCCUCGAGUAGCGGCGAAGUGUAAGUAAGUCGUUGGCUGAAGGUUGUAGGGCGAUUGGGCGUCGGGGACCCCGGGCAGGGACUACCCAGCAAGGGGCGUCCGUCGCAACUUCUUCUUAGCGGGAUCGGCGGCGUCUAGCGCACGAGAUGGAGCAAUAACAGGUCUGUGAUGCCCUUAGAUGUUCUGGGCCGCACGCGCGCUACAAUGUAGGGCUCAGCGUGCUAUCCCCCUCCGAAAGGAGCGGGUAACCCGAUGAAACCCCUUCCCGAUUGGGAUUGGGGAUUGUAAGUGUUUCCCAUGAACGAGGAAUUCCCAGUAAGCGCGAGUCAUGCAGCUCGCGUUGAUACGUCCUGCCUUUGUACACACGCCGUCGCUACUACCGAUUGAGUGAUUCAGUGAGGGCAUCGGACUGGCGCCCUCGGUAACCUUCGGUAACGCUCCGGCUGGCGCCAUCCUUCGCGGAUGAUAAGCGUAACAACAGCGGACGUCCUUAGGCAAUACCCCGGGCUGACGGAAAGAUGUCCGAACUUGAUCACUUAGAGGAAGUAAAAGUCGUAACAAGGUUUCCGUAGUGAACCUGCGGAAGGAUCAUUA